GACGAACGCUGGCGGCGCGCCUAACACAUGCAAGUCGAACGAGCGAGAGAGAGCUUGCUUUCUCGAGCGAGUGGCGAACGGGUGAGUAACGCGUGAGGAACCUGCCUCAAAGAGGGGGACAACAGUUGGAAACGACUGCUAAUACCGCAUAAGCCCACGGCUCGGCAUCGAGCAGGGGGAAAAGGAGCAAUCCGCUUUGAGAUGGCCUCGCGUCCGAUUAGCUAGUUGGUGGGGUAACGGCCCACCAAGGCGACGAUCGGUAGCCGGACUGAGAGGUUGAACGGCCACAUUGGGACUGAGACACGGCCCAGUCUCCUACGGGAGGCAGCAGUGGGGAAUAUUGCACAAUGGGGGAAACCCUGAUGCAGCGACGCCGCGUGGAGGAAGAAGGUCUUCGGAUUGUAAACUCCUGUUGUUGGGGAAGAUAAUGACGGUACCCAACAAGGAAGUGACGGCUAACUACGUG
rnacentral:rRNA from 1 species